GAUGAACGCUAGCGGCAGGCCUAAUACAUGCAAGUCGAACGGGAUUAAGAGGCUUGCUUCUUAUGAGAGUGGCGCACGGGUGCGUAACACGUAUGCAACCUACCUUCAACUGGGGGAUAGCCUUCCGAAAGGGAGAUUAAUACCGCGUAACAUAAUUGAGUGGCAUCACUUGAUUAUCAAACGUCAGGGUUGAAGAUGGGCAUGCGUCCGAUUAGUUUGUUGGUGAGGUAACGGCUCACCAAGACUACGAUCGGUAGGGGAUCUGAGAGGAUGGCCCCCCACACUGGGACGGAGACACGGACCAGACUCCUACGGGAGGCAGAAGUAAGGAAUAUUGGUCAAUGGACGGAAGUCUGAACCAGCCAUGCCGCGUGCAGGAAGACGGUCCUCUGUAUUGUAAACUGCUUUUGUUAGGGAAGAACUUCCGUACGUGUACGGGACUGACGGUACCUAAAGAAUAAGGAUCGGCUAACUCCGUGCCAGCAGCCGCCGUAAGAC
rnacentral:rRNA from 1 species